CCACAGCUCAACUGUGGAACUGCUCGGUAUACUGUCGAUCUUGAGGCCAGUAGGGGUAGUCGGAACUGUUGGUGGAGCGGUGAAAUGCGUAGAUAUCAACAGGAACACCAAAGGUGAAGACAGGCUACUGGGCUGGACCUGACGCUGAGACACGAAAGCAUGGGUAGCGAACAGGAUUAGAUACCCUGGUAGUCCAUGCCGUAAACGAUGUGUACUAGAUCCUGGAGGCUCUGACGCCAUCGGGGUCGAAGAUAAAUUGAUAAGUACACCGCCUGGGGAGUACGGUCGCAAGAUUAAAACUCAAAGGAAUUGACGGGGGCUCACACAAGCGGUGGAGCAUGUGGCUUAAUUCGAAGCAACGCGAAGAACCUUAUCCUGGGUUUGACAUGCAUGGAUUAACUCUUGGAAACAGGAGCCACGCCCUUUGGGUGGAACAUGCACAGGUGCUGCAUGGCUGUCGUCAGCUCGUGCCGUGAGGUGUUAGGUUAAGUCCUUCAACGAGCGAAACCCUUGUCAUUAGUUGCCAGCGAGUCAAGUCGGGGACUCUAAUGAGACUGCCGGUGUCAAACCGGAGGAAGGUGGGGAUGACGUCAAGUCCUCAUGGCCUUUAUGCCCAGGGCUGCACACGUGCUACAAUGGUGCGUACAGAGCGAAGCAAUACCGUAAGGUGGAGCAAAUCGCAAAAAGCGCGCCUCAGUUCGGAUUGUGGUCUGCAACUCGACCACAUGAAGUCGGAAUCGCUAGUAAUCGCGUAUCAGCAAUGACGCGGUGAUAAGUUCCUGAGCAUUGUACACACCGCCCGUCAAGUCAUGGAGCCGGCAGUGCCCAAAGUGGCCCAAAUUCAUGGGUCCCUACGGCAAGGCUGUGACUGGGACUAAG
rnacentral:rRNA from 1 species